UGACCCGUCGCCAUGGACACAAGGGGUCGGAUAUUUAAAGUUAAAUAUUUUUAACUUACGCGUGAAAUGGUUAAUUUUAAAAAUAUAUAUAUUCUAAGUAAACAACAACAGCCCAAGUUUAGUAAACAUUUUUUUAUUGAAACUAUAAAUAAAUAUUCUGCAUCCAUUAGGUGUGCCACUGUGGGUGGCUCCCGCACACCCGUGGCUACGCCCCUUCCGUGACCCAAAUCUCGUUCGCACAUCAUCGCGAUGUUUAUCAUCAAUUUUCAAACAUCGCCAGUCGCCACAUCUUUUUUCUUCACAUACAUCUCAUACUCCUCCAUCUACACUCUUCACAACAUUUAAACCAACGGCUCUUUUAACAGCCAUCACUUGCAAAAGCUCUCCUACUCACUCACUCACUCACUCUCCAACUCACUCAAGGUGCGUUCCAUUCGACCGUAAGUCGACCAUCGACCAUCAAGAGAUUAGCCUAUCCCCUGUAUGUCAUUGAUGCACUACUUCAAAGAUGUGAGAAAAAGAACAUACACCUGCGAGUAGUCUGUUACAUUGACUGUGUUGCUGCCUCACAUUUGCAGAUAAGUACCCUUUUUUUGUGUAAAACUGAAUUAUUGUUUUUAAGAAAAAACCUUUAACUUAUUUAUGUCAUACUAUGUUCAAUCAGAAAUCAGGGGAGGGCAUAUCACACAACAUUGCCUUGGCCGUACCAGCAUUUCAUGUUUAUGGACACAAAUUGCCCUGCCAGAUCAAGUACAGUACCAGAUGGCUUGAUGGGUUUGGGCUCACAGACCGGGAAGGAAUGAAAAGGCUGUGGUCUUUCCUCCAAAGAUUUGCCAGAGUCACAAAGGAGAUGACUCCAUCUCAUCGCCUUGACCUACUGACUGAUGCCCUUUUGCAUUAGGGAUGGAGGAAAUCAACUGACCUAGGUGUGUCUACUGCUGUAUAAC